rnacentral:lncRNA from 1 species
GUGUAAGAAAAAUAAGUUGGGAUAUAAGAUAAAAUGAUUUAGGAAAAACAGUAGUGCUAAAUUUGAAUUGCAAACAUCAAUAUUAGCUCAUGAUUUUAAAAAAUGUGUAUUUAUAGCUCUCUUCUGACAGGGUCAAGAAGCAAUAAUGUCCCAGUGCCAAUUAGCAUACCAGUGCCAUUUUUGGCUUUCUAAGAACUAUUUUUCAGUAGAUGAAGAAAUUCAGACUCAGAAGAGAAAUGGCUACCCCAGAUCCGGGACAAAGAAAGUAUGAAGUAAGCUUCUGACAUCUUGUGACAGAAAACAAAGGCUCAAAGAAUGACACGGAUUGGCUCAAAUAACCCAGGAGACGGUUGGAAGGGAUCUGCCCAGUAACUCUGCAAGACAGGUGACUUCAUCUCUGGCUGACAGAGGAGGUUAUUCAAAGAGGAAGAGGUCAGACAGAUGACCACGAUCAAGCCCAGAGAACAGCAGAACCCCGUCUCUCGGGUGCCAUAGACCUGGCCCAUCCUGUCCUCAAGGGGCUGGAUUAGCAGAGAGAAGGCACAGGUGACCAAAUGGCCAAGAGCUAUGACACGUUUCGCCCUGAUUUCUGCCUGGCUGUGGUGGAGAUCAGUGCUAAUAGUUAUGAGGAGGGAGAGAGGGAUGAGAAGGUUUAAUCUGAGUUGUGAGAGACAAGGAGAGUGGGAGAAUCUGGCUGACCUUCAUUAUCUGCAAAGACAGGAAAGACUCCGAUGGGGACACAAGGUGGUUC